rnacentral:rRNA from 1 species
CCGGCCGGGAACUCAAGGAGACUGCCAGUGAGUAAACUGGGGGAAGGUGGGGAUGACGUCAAGUCAUCAUGGCCCUUACGACCAGGGCUACACACGUGCUACAAUGGCGCAUACAAAGAGAAGCGACCUCGCGAGAGCAAGCGGACCUCAUAAAGUGCGUCGUAGUCCGGAUUGGAGUCUGCAACUCGACUCCAUGAAGUCGGAAUCGCUAGUAAUCGUGGAUCAGAAUGCCACGGUGAAUACGUUCCCGGGCCUU